AGGGUGGGGCUGGAGGUGGGGCU
rnacentral:miRNA from 1 species